GAUGAACGCUGGCGGCGUGCUUAACACAUGCAAGUCGAACGGAAAGGCUCCUGCUUGCAGGGGUACUCGAGUGGCGAACGGGUGAGUAACACGUGGGUGAUCUGGCCUGCACUUCGGGAUAAGCGUGGGAAACUGGGUCUAAUACCGGAGAGGUCCGCAUUUUGGAUGGUGUGGUGGAAAGUUUUUCGGUGUGGGUUGAGCUCGCGGCCUAUCAGCUUGUUGGUGGGGUAAUGGCUUACCAAGGCGUCGACGGGUAGCCGGCCUGGGAGGGUGUACGCGCACCUUGGGCCUGCGGUACGGCGCAGAGUGGUACGGGAGGCAGCAGGGGGGAAUCUUACACAAUGGGCGCACGCGUGAUGCAGCGACGCCGCGUGGGGGAUGACGGCCUUCGGGUGAUGAACUCCUUUAGCUAGAGACGAAGCGCAAGUGACGGUACCUGGAGAAGAAGCACCGGCUAACUACGUG
rnacentral:rRNA from 1 species